AAUCAUAAGUCACAACUAGGAGUCUAGGACUAGUCACAACCAUCAAUUUAUUAAAAAGAUCCUAAUUUUUUUUUUUAGUAGUUCAAAUCUGCAUUGCCGUAUGUUUUAUAUAUCUAAAUUUUGACAUCCUAAAUUCUAGUUCUUAGAUGAUGUGUGAUCUUUUGAUGAGAACUUUUAUUCUCUUAACUUGAAUUUUUCUUACAAAUUGUCCUUGUUCUAGUGAAAAAGUCGUUUCCAUCACCUAAAUGGUACCAAACGAAAAAGGAAACAGUAGUUCUUUUCUCCACUGAGUGUAUAGUUAUGAUCCGUGUUCGAAAACGCGCCCGAGUUGCCGAGAUCUCGGCCGGGUAAGCGUUGGGCGUGUUGUCACCGUGGCGUGGAGGAGCUGAUCGGAGUAGCUAGGCGGUGAGUCGAUUUUGUCUUGAGUUGACCGCAGAAAUGAUGCAAUCGGUGCUUCGUAUUACAAACACGUGUUGCUUCAGUUUGAUAAUCUACAUAAUUUUGACCUCAAUCGAUACAAUUUUGAAACUUUGUGCUGUAAACUGCAAGAAAAAUGAAAAAAAAGUGAAAAAUCAUGUUUGGAAUUCAUGAACGGCGGCUAGGGUUGCAGAGAGAAGUUUGUUAAAGAGAUGAGGGUAAUAAUGUAAUUUUACUUUUUAAUGCGAAAAUGCUUAAAAUUUGAGAUGACAGAGAUUCAAACCCGAAUUAUUC
rnacentral:lncRNA from 1 species